AGGUGCCCAGUUAGCUCGCGGCUAACACUAAGUUAGCCAGGUGUGGCUGGAGCCCACCCGGCAUGUUAUAAAUGCACUCAUUUAUAACACUCACAGGUCCGUCGGCGCGCUCAGCUGCUCCUUCAGAGUUAAGCCGCUCUUGUUUGCAUCACAACCGACGCAAACAGUGAACAAACCAGCAGUGAAACGUCCAAUCACAGCACAGAACCACGACCCGUCUCAGAGACCGCACGUUUGACUUGGGAUCGCUGUCUUAACCAAAGGGCGGGGCCUCAGUGUCGCACUUGAUGCUGAAGCUCAGUGUGAAGGUCUUCACGUGUUCUCCCGUUUAUUCACACGCUUCGUCUCUCGCCGACCUGCAGGAACGUUCUGCUUUCAUCAGAGCUCCGCCUGGAGACCAGGCGCAGGUGGAGCAGUAUGGUGUUCUCUAAAUGUCAUGUUAAACAAAAGCAACAUGGUCCUCCAAUCAGCUAAUAGGAAGCAGCUCCACCCUGAUGAUAUCAUAACUCAUGUUCAGAGGCGGUUACAUCACAGUUAUCAGGAAGCAGAGCGGCGCCACAUGGCGAGGCUGCCCUGCAGGUUUACUGUUCACAAUCACAGCGACACACUCACACCUGCUGAAUGACAUCACAAAUCUGUCAAAUAUGAGGUUAUUUUAAAUAUUUGUAAGCCUAAAAACUGACAACAAUAAAAGGUUUUACAUCACAAACGCUGAACAUGUAUGACGAGGCAUCCUCUACCGUGUCACACGUCAGAUUGGAUUAUCAUUUAUGAUCACAUCCAUAAUCAAUAACUUGAGCCGUCGCCUCUACGCCCUUCAGCUUCCUGUCACAUGACAUGUCAGCAGAGGAAAUGUCAGGCGCUGCAGCAGAGCGCCCCCUGCUGGAGUGAAUAAACGCCGGGGACUAAGGCUACGUCCACACGUACCCGGGUAUUUUUGAAAAAGCAGAUUUUUCUAUGCGUUUGCACCUUUCGUCCACACGUAAACGGCGUUUUUGGUCACUGAAAACGGAGAUUUCUAAAAACGCCUGCCAGGGUGGAGAUUUUCGAAAACUCCGUUUUUGCAUUUACGUGUGGACGAGAAAAACAGAGAAAACGCAGCGUCAAAGGUCUGCGCCAAUUUUGACGUCACACUGUGCGCCACGUUAUUGUUUCGGUGAAAUGAAUUUCUACAAUACUGUUACUGUUAAUUGUACUCUCUGCAGUGUUUAAAUGCUUACAUAUACACACACAGUUACUGUCCCUCCACACAUACGACUCGGUUCUGCUUCUAUGCCCCAUCUUUGUUUACUAUUUCCCACCGAGGCUUCUAGACUUCUGAUUGGCCAACAUUUCUACAGGUUAGGAAUAUAUCGCCACCUGUUGCUUUGGCAUGUUCCUGGCAGCGUUAAAUCUCCGUUUUCAAAAAUACCCGUGUACGUGUGGACGUAGCCCAAGUCUCAGUCCUUCAGACCACAGACUGUAAAUGAACGAUGGCGCUGUACUGUGAUGUCAGCGGUUACCAUCUUAGCCGCUUCCUGUUCUGAAACGCGUCUGGAAAAACUUCAGCGAGCUCACAGAUCAGCUGGCUUCUGUCCAAUCAGACUUCAGAGUCAGCCCCGGAUGAAACAGGACGCAGGUGUAAGCAGCUUCAGUGUUACCUUUACAUCCAUCCUUUAUGUACAGUCUGAUUUUGGCCAGCAGAGCCGCAGUCAGGGAGGGGCAGAGACCACAGACUCACCUGCUCAGGUUAUUAAGAUGUCACCGGCUCACUGACACAGCUCGAGGUGUUGCGGCUGAAUACGAGUCUGUUUACAGGUGUGAAAUGACCGUGUCAACUGUUAUUGAUGGGCAUGCAGUAAAUAAAGUACGAAGAGUCAUGUGGAAGAAACAAA